UCGAUGAAGAACGCAGCGAAAUGCGAUAAGUAAUGUGAAUUGCAGAAUUCAGUGAAUCAUCGAAUCUUUGAACGCACAUUGCGCCCCUUGGUAUUCCGAGGGGCAUGCCUGUUCGAGCGUCAUUAUGACCACUCAAGCCUAGCUUGGUAUUGGGGUUCGCGGUCUCGCGGCCCUUAAAAUCAGUGGCGGUGCCAUCUGGCUCUAAGCGUAGUAAUUUAUCUCGCUAUUGGGUCCGGUAGUUGCUUGCCAACAACCCCCAACUUCUAAGGUUGACCUCGGAUCAGGUAGGGAUACCCGCUGAACUUAA
rnacentral:rRNA from 1 species